GGCUCAGAUUGAACGCUGGCGGCAUGCCUUACACAUGCAAGUCGAACGGUAACGCGGGGCAACCUGGCGACGAGUGGCGAACGGGUGAGUAAUAUAUCGGAACGUGCCCAGUAGUGGGGGAUAGCCCGGCGAAAGCCGGAUUAAUACCGCAUGAGACCUGAGGGUGAAAGCGGGGGAUCGCAAGACCUCGCGCUAUUGGAGCGGCCGAUAUCAGAUUAGGUAGUUGGUGGGGUAAAAGCCUACCAAGCCGACGAUCUGUAGCUGGUCUGAGAGGACGACCAGCCACACUGGGACCGAGACACGGCCCAGACUCCUACGGGAGGCAGCAGUGGGGAAUUUUGGACAAUGGGCGCAAGCCUGAUCCAGCCAUGCCGCGUGCGGGAAGAAGGCCUUCGGGUUGUAAACCGCUUUUGUCAGGGAAGAAAUCUUCUGAGUUAAUACCUCGGGAGGAUGACGGUACCUGAAGAAUAAGCACCGGCUAACUACGUGCCAGCAGCCGCGGUAAUACGUAGGGUGCGAGCGUUAAUCGGAAUUACUGGGCGUAAAGCGUGCGCAGGCGGUCUUGCAAGACAGGUGUGAAAUCCCCGGGCUUAACCUGGGAACUGCACUUGUGACUGCAAGGCUGGAGUACGGCAGAGGGGGAUGGAAUUCCGCGUGUAGCAGUGAAAUGCGU
rnacentral:rRNA from 1 species